AACGCAGACAAUAAAGCUCGCGCAUGCGCAAUCAGAAACUUGGGCUGCUUGGUUUCACGAUUUUCCCUCAGUAUUAGUUGAGAACGCGGAAGAAGAAGAAGUAGAUGUCGGACUAGAUUUGGAGAAUUAUGAUAAAAAUGCUCGAGAUCAAGGGCACCACUUACCACCAUAAGAACCAGUGGGGUAGCCACCAUAUCCGCCACCACCGCCGCUAGGGUAGCCACCAUAUCCGCCACCACCUCCGCUAGGGUAGCCACCAUAUCCGCCGUAUUUUUUGUAUAGUGUUCUCUUGCUACGGAUCUUCUUCGUCUUUUUGGGUUUAUCUCCUACGACAUCGCGGACUUCGGUCCCCUUCGGCGCUUCGUUUGAAUUGGAACUUUUAACCGUAGCAUAGUCGCCUCCCAAAUUCCCGGUUAGGUCUUCUGAAGUGAAUUUUUCAUCAUCUUCU